AUGUGUGUGUGUAUGUGUGUGUGGUCAGUUGCUCAGUCGUGUUUGACUCUUUGUGACCUCAUGGACUGUGGCCCACCAGGCUCCUCUGUCCAUGGGAUUUUUCAGGCUGGAAUGCUGGAGUGGGUUGCCAUUUCCUCCUCCAGGGGAUCUUCCCAGACCAGGGAUCAAUCCGCAUCUCUUACAUUGGCAAGCAGAUGCUUUACCAGUGAGCCACCUGGGCUUAAAAAAAGGGAAAAUGUCUGCCCCUCAAGUUCUGCAACGAACUUGUGCGGCUCUGACAGCUGGGUGUAGGUGUGGGAUGAGCAGAAGGGCUCAAGGAACACGAUUGGAGGAGAUGACAUGCUGAUGAGAAGAAAAAGAAGCCUCACAGUCAAAUGAUGUGAUUCCAAUUACAAGGAUCCACUUAAGCCAGCUUUUGAUGUCCUGCCUGCUCCCAGGCUACCGGUUCAGGAAAUGCUGUGUGGUCUAUUCCCAUGAGGCACAUUCUGAGAUGGUCUUCUCAUCGGUAUCCUGGGAAAGACACUCUUCCUUUCCCCAAAGAUUUCACUUCUCUAGAUGAUGCCAACUUUCCUAAUGGGGGACAGGAAAAGGGUCCAGUUUCUCUGCAAGGCCAUUCAAGCUCUUUCCCAGGGCAGGAUGAUCUCUGGGAGAGUUAUAGGAAUUUCCCUGCAGGUUCUGUCAUACUCCAGGCUGCAGAGAAUUCUUGCCUGGUUUUCCCUCCCUGCUAACCGUCACCUCAGACUUCCCAGGUAGCUCAGUGGUAAAGAAUCCAGGUAAAGAACACAGGAGAGGCAGGAUUUGGGUUUGGGUUUGGUCCCUGGGUCGGGAAGAUCCCCCAAAAGAAGAAAUGACAAUCCACUCCAGUAUUCUUGCCUGAAUAAUCUCAUGGACAGAAGAGCCUGGAGGGUUACAGUCCACAAAGAGUCAGACAUGACUGAAGUGACUUUGCAUGCAAUAUUUGAUUUAUAAUGUUAUGUAAUGUCAUUCUGAAGGAGAUCAGCCCUGGGAUUUCUUUGAAAGGAAUGAUGCUAAAGCUGAAACUCCAGUACUUUGGCCACCUCAUGCGAAGAGUUGACUCAUUGGAAAAGACUUUGAUGCUGGGAGGGAUUGGGGGCAGGCAGAGAGUCAGACAUGACUGAGCGACUGAAAUGAACUGAACUGAACUGAAUGUCUUCUGUAUAGCAAGGUGAUUCAGUUGUGUGUGUGGGAGGGGGGGUAACUGCUCACUUGUGUCUGACUCUUUGCAACCCCAUGGAAUAUAGCCCUCCAGGCUCCUCUGUCCAUGGGGUCUCCAUGCAGGAAUACUGGAGUGGGUAGCCAUUCCCUUCUCCAGGGGAUCUUCCCAACCCAGGGAGCCAACCCCAUUGCAGGCAGAUUCUUUACUCUCUGAGCCACCAGGGAAGCCCUGACCUCACAGGGACUUGGUGAAGAUCAUAAGGAAUGGCAUGUGAAAACUUUGAAAAAUAUUAGUUAUGUACAUGUGUGGGUGUUAUGUGCUUUUGCUAUGGCCACGUCUGUCCUUUGAAGUGGCUGAGCUGCAAGUACUUACAGGCACCACCUUACAUCAUAUAGGGUCUGCUACUGCUGCUGCUGCUGCUGCUAAGUCACUUCAGUCGUGUCCGACUCUGUACGACCCCAUAGACGGCAGCCCACUAGGCUCCUCCGUCCAUGGGAUUCUCCAGGCAAGAACACUAGAGUGGGUUGCCAUUUCCUUCUCCAAUGGAUCUAGCAACAUUAAAUUGGCAGCUAGGUUAUAGGAGAAAGGUGUUGAUAUGGAAUUUUAUAUGAGGUAAUCAAUGUAACCUUUAAAAUUUUACUUUUAAUGGCUAUAUUUUUCUGGGCUGGCUUCCAUAUGGAAAUGCUAGAAAGAUAGUACAUUUGAUGAGGAGGUAAUAGGUAAGGAUUUUGUUAGAUUCAAAACCUACAUUGUAGAAUCCUUGGCAUCCUGGCUCUUGUUCAGAUGAAAAUGUAUGGCAGAACGUGUUUUUCAAAGUGAGUUUUUGAAAGAACAGAAACCUGAAAUGUAAUGUGUCCUGUGGAGAAUAAAUGGUUUAACAGGCUUGAAAAUUAAUAAAAUAAACUUGAUUAUUAGGGAUUACUCAUUAGGAUGGUUUAAAAUAAAAAAGAAAAGGGAAAAGAAAAAAAAAAAAGAAGUCUCAAACCAUCUACAGAUGCAAGCAGACAGGUCAAUUUUGGACUUUCUGAAGCCUUGUUAGUAUCUUACUAUUCAAAGCAGGAUGGGAGGACCAGCCCCAAAGGAUCACCCAGGAGUUUGUUAGAGAUGCUGAAAUCUUUGGCUCCACCCCAGACCUUCUGGACCAGAAGUUGCAUUUAGCAAGAUACCUAAGUGACUCUUAGUAACAUUACAGUUUCCUUGGUUUUGGUACUUUUAGUUCUCAGGGCUGAACUUUGGUAGCAAUCCUAAACUAGAUGCCAGGCUAGCCCGCUAGAGUCCUAAGGAGCCAGAUUGCUGACGUUCAGAGUGACAGUUUAGUUCCCAAACACAAUGAGAGACAGAAUUCUGUGAGUGACCAUCUGUCCUUUUGUAUAAGUGGCUGCCUCUGGCCCAGGGCUGUGGGUGAAUCAGAGCAUGUGAUUUAUCAGACAUAUAUUUAGAAAGUAAAUGAUUGCCAAAAGAAAGGAGGGCGUGAAGAAACAAUAUCACCCAUAUCUGUUUCUCAUUAUAAAAUAAUAUUGCUGGUUUGCACGCUUUCUAGAUUCCUUAGGGCAUUCUAUUGCCACUCUGGGUUUGUUUUCUGUUUUUUUUUUUUUUUUAAACAUAUUUAGAAGACAUUUAAUAGAAAUGUUGCUGCAUGGGAACAAAAAUAUUUUUCUCACAAAAUGUUCCCAUUCAAUAAGUUGCUGCAUAUUUUUGUUCCAUAUGGUGCUUAAGCUGACAGUGUCUGUAGGCAAUGCAAUUGACAGAGCAUCAGAGAAGUAGACUUAUACAUUUAAAGU
rnacentral:lncRNA from 1 species